AGUGAACGCUGGCGGUAGGCCUAACACAUGCAAGUCGAACGGCAGCACCGUAAGAGCUUGCUCUUACGGGUGGAGAGUGGCGGAAGGGUGAGGAAUACAUCGGAAUCUACUUUUUAGUGGGGGAUAACGUAGGGAAACUUACGCUAAUACAGCAUACGACCUACGGGUGAAAGCAGGGGAUCUUCGGACCUUGCGCGAUUGAAUGAGCCGAUGUCGGAUUAGCUAGUUGGCGGGGUAAAGGCCCACCAAGGCGACGCUCCGUAGCUGGUCUGAGAGGAUGAUCAGCCACACUGGAUCUGAGACACGGUACAGACUCCUGCGGUAGGCAGCAGUGGGGAAUAUUGGACAAUGGGCGCAAGCCUGAUCCAGCCAUACCGCGUGAGUGAAGAAGGCCUUCGGGUUGUAAAGCCCUUCUGUUGGGAAAGAAAAGCAGCAGGUUAAUACCCCGCUGUUCUGACGGUACCCAAAGAAUAAGCACCGGCUAACUUCGUG
rnacentral:rRNA from 1 species